rnacentral:rRNA from 1 species
AAUCAACGCUGGCGGCGUGCCUCAGACAUGCAAGUCGAACGCGAAAGUUCCCUUCGGGGGCGAGUAGAGUGGCGCACGGGUGAGUAACACGUAGGUAAUCUACCUUUGGGUGGGGAAGUAACAGCCGGAAACGGCUGCUAAUACCGCAUAAUGCAGCGGCUCGACAUCGAGACAGUUGUUAAAGCGGGGGAGUCGCAAGACCUCGCGCCUAAAGAGGAGCCUGCGGCGGAUUAGCUUGUUGGUGAGGUAAUGGCUCACCAAGGCAUCGAUCCGUAGCCGGCCUGAGAGGGCGGUCGGCCACACUGACACUGACAUACGGGUCAGACUCCUACGGGAGGCAGCAGUCGGGAAUUUUGGG